CUUUAUUUUUUUAUUACACCAAACAAAAUACUAAAUUUAAGAGCUAUUCAAAUAAGGCACAGCUUAUUUGAAAUGGGGUACAACCCCUAAUACUGGGUUAAUCUAGAUAUAUUAAAUAAAGUGGGCCUAAAAGCAGCCAUCUUCCAAAAAGCGUUAAAGCUUAACAUAUUAACAUCUACAAUUCCACAAUUUUUACUUAACCCUUCAUUACUACUGAACUAUUUUAUACCCCUAUAAAAGUCAUUAUGCUAGAACUAGUAACAAGAAAUUGCCCUUCUCCAAAAUGUAUGUUUAAACCAAAAUGGACACUCCACUGGUAGUUAACGUAAAUGUAAAAAUCAUAGUACCACACACUAGAAAACCCUAUGAUUCCCAACGUCAACCUUACACUAGAACAUUACAGGAAAGAUUAAAAGAGAAAGAAGGAACUCGGCAAACCACAGUCCCGCCUGUUUACCAAAAACACCGCCUCUUGCCCAAAUAUAAGAGGUCCAGCCUGCCCAGUGACAUAGUUUAACGGCCGCGGUACCCUAACCGUGCGAAGGUAGCAUAAUCACUUGUUCUUUAAAUAAGGACUCGUAUCAACGGCAUCACGAGGGCUGUACUGUCUCCUUUCUCCAAUCAGUGAAACUGAUCUCCCCGUGAAGAAGCGGGGAUUGACCUAUAAGACGAGAAGACCCCAUGGAGCUUUAAACCCAACACACACCUCUACACACCCAAAUCAAUAUAGCCUAAGAGACUUGCGUGUUGGUUUUAGGUUGGGGGGACCACGGAGUAUAAUCAAACCUCCAUGACAGACGGGCUAACACCCUUAUCCAUGAACCACAAUUCUAAGAGCCAAUAAAUUGUUGUCUAUGACCCAAUUACUUGAUCAACGAACCAAGUUACCCUGGGGAUAACAGCGCAAUCUACUUCAAGAGCCCCUAUCGACAAGUAGGUUUACGACCUCGAUGUUGGAUCAGGGUAUCCUAGUGGUGCAGCCGCUACUAAAGGUUCGUUUGUUCAACGAUUAAAACCCUACGUGAUCUG
rnacentral:rRNA from 1 species